rnacentral:lncRNA from 1 species
AAAGAGUUAAAUCUUGGUUGAAUAAUAGAAGUCAUUGUAGCGCCGAAGAGAACGAAAGAAAUAUAUCCAUCCUUAUCAAUUAUUGAAGGAUUGAAAAGUCGUUGCAACUUGUGUCUUCUUGGUCGACCACCCUUUGUUUUUGACUAUUCUCUAUGUACAGCCAAGCCACAACUAUAAGGUUGAUCCAUUUCUAAUACUCC